rnacentral:rRNA from 1 species
AGAGUUUGAUUAUGGCUCAGGAUGAACGCUGGCGGCGUGCCUAACACAUGCAAGUCGAGCGAAGCACUUUGAUUGGAUUCUUCGGAUGAAGAUGAUUGUGACUGAGCGGCGGACGGGUGAGUAACGCGUGGGCAACCUGCCUUACACAGGGGGAUAACAGUUAGAAAUGACUGCUAAUACCGCAUAAGACCGCGGAACCGCAUGGUUCUGAGGUAAAAACUCCGGUGGUGUAAGAUGGGCCCGCGUCUGAUUAGGUAGUUGGUGAGGUAACGGCUCACCAAGCCGACGAUCAGUAGCCGACCUGAGAGGGUGACCGGCCACAUUGGGACUGAGACACGGCCCAGACUCCUACGGGAGGCAGCAGUGGGGAAUAUUGCACAAUGGGGGAAACCCUGAUGCAGCGACGCCGCGUGAGCGAUGAAGUAUUUCGGUAUGUAAAGCUCUAUCAGCAGGGAAGAAAAUGACGGUACCUGACUAAGAAGCCCCGGCUAACUACGUGCCAGCAGCCGCGGUAAUACGUAGGGGGCAAGCGUUAUCCGGAUUUACUGGGUGUAAAGGGAGCGU